rnacentral:rRNA from 1 species
UUCUUUCCAUCUUAGUGGCGGACGGGUGAGUAACGUGUGGGCAACCUGCCCUGUACUGGGGAAUAAUCAUUGGAAACGAUGACUAAUACCGCAUGUGGUUCUCGGAAGGCAUCUUCUGAGGAAGAAAGGAUUUAUUCGGUACAGGAUGGGCCCGCAUCUGAUUAGCUAGUUGGUGAGAUAACAGCCCACCAAGGCGACGAUCAGUAGCCGACCUGAGAGGGUGAUCGGCCACAUUGGGACUGAGACACGGCCCAAACUCCUACGGGAGGCAGCAGUGGGGAAUAUUGCACAAUGGGCGAAAGCCUGAUGCAGCAACGCCGCGUGAAGGAUGAAGGGUUUCGGCUCGUAAACUUCUAUCAAUAGGGAAGAAACAAAUGACGGUACCUAAAUAAGAAGCCCCGGCUAACUACGUGCCAGCAGCCGCGGUAAUACGUAGGGGGCAAGCGUUAUCCGGAAUUACUGGGUGUAAAGGGAGCGUAGGCGGCAUGGUAAGCCAGAUGUGAAAGCCUUGGGCUUAACCCGAGGAUUGCAUUUGGAACUAUCAAGCUAGAGUACAGGAGAGGAAAGCGGAAUUCCUAGUGUAGUGGUGAAAUGCGUAGAUAUUAGGAAGAACACCAGUGGCGAAGGCGGCUUUCUGGACUGAAACUG